GUGCCAGCAGCCGCGGUAAUACAGAGGUCCCAAGCGUUGUUCGGAUUCACUGGGCGUAAAGGGUGCGCAGGUGGCGUUUCAAGUUUGAUGUGAAAGCUUCGGGCUCAACCCGGAAAUGGCAUUGAAUACUGGAGUGCUGGAGGUUUGGAGGGGGGACUGGAAUUCUCGGUGUAGCAGUGAAAUGCGUAGAUAUCGAGAGGAACACCAGUGGCGAAGGCGAGUCCCUGGACAACACCUGACACUGAGGCACGAAAGCUAGGGGAGCAAACAGGAUUAGAAACCCCAGUAGUCC
rnacentral:rRNA from 1 species